rnacentral:rRNA from 2 species
GGGGUGCCUAAUACAUGCAGUCGAACGCGUUGGCCCAAUUGAUUGAUGGUGCUUGCACCUGAUUGAUUUUGGUCGCCAACGAGUGGCGGACGGGUGAGUAACACGUAGGUAACCUGCCCAGAAGCGGGGGACAACAUUUGGAAACAGAUGCUAAUACCGCAUAACAGCGUUGUUCGCAUGAACAACGCUUAAAAGAUGGCUUCUCGCUAUCACUUCUGGAUGGACCUGCGGUGCAUUAGCUUGUUGGUGGGGUAACGGCCUACCAAGGCGAUGAUGCAUAGCCGAGUUGAGAGACUGAUCGGCCACAAUGGGACUGAGACACGGCCCAUACUCCUACGGGAGGCAGCAGUAGGGAAUCUUCCACAAUGGGCGCAAGCCUGAUGGAGCAACACCGCGUGAGUGAAGAAGGGUUUCGGCUCGUAAAGCUCUGUUGUUAAAGAAGAACACGUAUGAGAGUAACUGUUCAUACGUUGACGGUAUUUAACCAGAAAGUCACGGCUAACUACGUGCCAGCAGCCGCGGUAAUACGUAGGUGGCAAGCGUUAUCCGGAUUUAUUGGGCGUAAAGAGAGUGCAGGCGGUUUUCUAAGUCUGAUGUGAAAGCCUUCGGCUUAACCGGAGAAGUGCAUCGGAAACUGGAUAACUUGAGUGCAGAAGAGGGUAGUGGAACUCCAUGUGUAGCGGUGGAAUGCGUAGAUAUAUGGAAGAACACCAGUGGCGAAGGCGGCUACCUGGUCUGCAACUGACGCUGAGACUCGAAAGCAUGGGUAGCGAACAGGAUUAGAUACCCUGGUAGUCCAUGCCGUAAACGAUGAGUGCUAGGUGUUGGAGGGUUUCCGCCCUUCAGUGCCGGAGCUAACGCAUUAAGCACUCCGCCUGGGGAGUACGACCGCAAGGUUGAAACUCAAAGGAAUUGACGGGGGCCCGCACAAGCGGUGGAGCAUGUGGUUUAAUUCGAAGCUACGCGAAGAACCUUACCAGGUCUUGACAUCUUGCGCCAACCCUAGAGAUAGGGCGUUUCCUUCGGGAACGCAAUGACAGGUGGUGCAUGGUCGUCGUCAGCUCGUGUCGUGAGAUGUUGGGUUAAGUCCCGCAACGAGCGCAACCCUUGUUACUAGUUGCCAGCAUUAAGUUGGGCACUCUAGUGAGACUGCCGGUGACAAACCGGAGGAAGGUGGGGACGACGUCAGAUCAUCAUGCCCCUUAUGACCUGGGCUACACACGUGCUACAAUGGACGGUACAACGAGUCGCGAACUCGCGAGGGCAAGCAAAUCUCUUAAAACCGUUCUCAGUUCGGACUGCAGGCUGCAACUCGCCUGCACGAAGUCGGAAUCGCUAGUAAUCGCGGAUCAGCAUGCCGCGGUGAAUACGUUCCCGGGCCUUGUACACACCGCCCGUCACACCAUGAGAGUUUGUAACACCCAAAGUCGGUGGGGUAA